rnacentral:rRNA from 1 species
AAUCAACGCUGGCGGCGUGCCUAACACAUGCAAGUCGAACGCGAAAGUGGAGCAAUCCAUGAGUAGAGUGGCAAACGGGUGAGUAACACGUGGGUGACCUGCCUUAGAGUGGGGGGAUAACGUCCCGAAAGGGACGCUAAUACCGCAUAACAUGCUGCCUUUUAAGAGGUGGACAUCAAAGCCGGGGACCGCAAGGCCUGGCGCUUAAAGAGGGGCCCGCGCCUGAUUAGCUAGUUGGUGGGGUAAUGGCUCACCAAGGCAACGAUCAGUAUCCGGCCUGAGAGGGCGGACGGACACACUGGGACUGAGACACGGCCCAGACUCCUACGGGAGGCAGCAGUGGGGAAUUGUUCGCAAUGGGCGCAAGCCUGACGACGCAACGCCGCGUGGAGGAUGAAGAUCUUCGGGUUGUAAACUCCUUUCGAUCGAGACGAAUGGCCCUUGGGCUAACAUCCUGAGGGAGUGACGGUACCGAGAGAAGAAGCCCCGGCUAACUCCGUGCCAGCAGCCGCGGUAA